CAUAUCCUUUGUUUCAUUCCUCUAUUUUCCUUUUUAGGUUUUAGGACAAAAGCAUGGUUACAUCAUAUGUGGUUAUUCUCCUUGGUGCAUUCUUGAAUUUAAAUAUUAGAUUUCGGUAGCAUUUUUGAAGAAGCAAAUAACAAUAUAUACUGAAUGCAGCAUUUGUAUUGGUAGAAUUUGGAUUAACUCUAUAUGGCAUUUUUCUUAUAGCAUACCAAAAUACCAAUGGCGUAUAAAUUCAGUUGCAAAUUGACUCCACUCUUCAUAUUCUCAACGGCACCAAUUUAUUUAUUCUUUUGGCUGGUUUCCUUUAGUAUUAUGAUUCCAUCCC